AUUGAACGCUGGCGGCAUGCCUUACACAUGCAAGUCGAACGGUAACGCGGGGCAACCUGGCGACGAGUGGCGAACGGGUGAGUAAUGCAUCGGAACGUGCCCAGUAGUGGGGGAUAGCCCGGCGAAAGCCGGAUUAAUACCGCAUACGACCUAAGGGGGAAAGGGGGGGAUCGCAAGACCUCUCGCUAUUGGAGCGGCCGAUGUCAGAUUAGGUAGUUGGUGGGGUAAAGGCCUACCAAGCCGACGAUCUGUAGCUGGUCUGAGAGGACGACCAGCCACACUGGGACUGAGAGACGGCCCAGACUCCUACGGGAGGCAGCAGUGGGGAAUUUUGGACAAUGGGCGCAAGCCUGAUCCAGCCAUGCCGCGUGCGGGAAGAAGGCCUUCGGGUUGUAAACCGCUUUUGUCAGGGAAGAAACGCUCUGGGUUAAUACCCUGGGGUAAUGACGGUACCUGAAGAAUAAGCACCGGCUAACUACGUGCCAGCCGCCACGGUAA
rnacentral:rRNA from 1 species